rnacentral:rRNA from 1 species
AUGGCUGCACGAGCGCUGACCGCUGCCGGCCGCCGGGUGGCCGGCCAGACCAGGCCGACGUCUCUUCUUGCCUCCUGCAGUAGGGCCAGGAACCACUCCUCGGCCAGCGCGCAGCCUGAGGAAUACCGCAGGGACGCCCAUGGCCCGGCGGCGGCGAUGACCGGGGCGCAGGUGGAGGCCGUGCUGAACCGCAAGAACGUCGAGGUGCUCCAGGACGAGGAGGAGCACGUCGCCACGGGCACCGUGCUGCCAGAUCGCCACGAGACCAUCGGCGCGCUGGACGGCGGCGAGGACGCGUCGUGGGUGCCCGACCAGGAUACAGGCGUCUUCGUCCCUGCCGAUGCCGGCGCUGACGGCCACGGCGGGGGCGCGCAUCCCGCCCCACCGCAGCACCUGUACGGAGGCGUGGGCGGGUCGGCGUCGGUGCUGGACCAGGCGGUGUUCGUCCGGGAGGACAUGGAGGACGCCGAGAGGCCCGCCAUGGACCUGACCGAUGCCAACGGCGGCAGCAACAACUAA